rnacentral:rRNA from 1 species
AGGAAAGCAGGGGAUCGCAAGACCUUGCGCUUUUGGAGCGGCCGAUGUCUGAUUAGCUAGUUGGUGAGGUAAAGGCUUACCAAGGCGUCGAUCAGUAGCUGGUCUGAGAGGACGGCCAGCCACACUGGGACUGAGACACGGCCCAGACUCCUACGGGAGGCAGCAGUGGGGAAUUUUGGACAAUGGGGGAAACCCUGAUCCAGCCAUGCCGCGUGAGUGAAGAAGGCCUUCGGGUUGUAAAGCUCUUUCAGCCGGAACGAAACGGUCACAGCUAAUACCUGUGACUACUGACGGUACCGGAAGAAGAAGCACCGGCUAACUACGUGCCAGCAGCCGCGGUAAUACGUAGGGUGCGAGCGUUAAUCGGAAUUACUGGGCGUAAAGCGUGCGCAGGCGGUUUUGUAAGUCAGAUGUGAAAUCCCCGGGCUUAACCUGGGAACUGCGUUUGAAACUACAAGGCU